AUUGGAGUUGAACUCCAGCAAGAACGAGCUAGUGGAAGAAAAGUUUGAAUGGGACUCUGAAAAUGACAACAUUCUUCGCAAGGAACAUAUGGGUGACGGUCGUGGAUCUGGAUACUUUGAUAUCCUUGGAUUUCAUCCAUAUAAAGAGGUUGUCUUUCUGCAUCAAUCAAUAUGCAGAGGGUUGGCCUAUCAUUUGAAAGAUUCAAAGGUUCAGGACCUUGGCUACUUAUACCCAACAACUUGUCAUCUAGCAUUGGGGGCCGAGCGUUUCAUAACUGAUUCAUUCCCAUACACACCUUGUUUGAUAGAACUGCAGAAAGCAACAAGAAUGUAGAAGGCCAUCCCGGAGACUUGUACGAUGGUUGGGACCUAAUUGACCAUCGGAAUAAAUGAUCUACUCAUGUUUAUGGCCUGGUUCAAUCUUAUUAGCAACAUUGAAUUUAUAUUUAUCCUUUUAAGUAAAGUUUUCAUGUUUUUGAUUGCGGUUGUGAGAACAUGGAACCUCAAACUGUAUCAUUGAAAAAACAUAUAUAGUUGUUUACUUGUUCUGUUACGUUAUCCAUUUCGUUGUCUAUUAAACUACUGAACAAUGUCUAUGUAUUUUUUAUUCUGUUUCAUCUACUUUGGGCUCCUGCUCUGCCUAUAUUACGUUAUUUCUUUUGAUCUUAAGCUUCCCCAGAAAUAUGCUUAGAUUGCGGUGCAAUUAAGCUACAGUGGGGGCGAGAGCAGCUCUAACAAACUGUUUUUCCUAUUACUUCCAUCCAUGUAAUUUUGGAUUAUUUUCUGUCCUGUGUUGAGUCUGUAAUGCCCGUGAACUUCAGCUUUGCCGUGGUGGAAACACUCUGUGCAAGGCUUACUGGAAUGGGAGGGAAGAGAAAUGUAAGGCGCUUGGGCCUUGGAGGGUAAGCAGUAUCAUUUGUUUGAAAUUACCGUUCCUAGUCGGAGAGCAUUUCUAUUAGCCUCUCCGAGAAGUUUGGGAAACUGCUCGGGAGUAGCUUGCGACUUCGAGCAUGUAGAAACUCUUCAGCUAACAAAUUAAGUGGGCCUGAAGCCUGCCCUAUAUAUGUUUACAUUCUAUUCUUUAUUAUUUCUCUGAAUUAGUGAAACAUUUUUAAGCUAAUUCUGCAUUGAGAUAUAUUGUAACUACUCUUACUAUAUACUACCUCCGUCCGAAAAAGGUUGUCCCUCAAAUGGAUGUAUCUAGCACCAAGUUAGUGCUAGAUACAUCCAUUUGAAGAACAAGCUUAGGACAAACUUUUUUGGACGGAGGGAGUAUCAGAUAUAUUUGCGUUUUUGAAAUAAGCUGCCACUAAUGUUAUUGGUUCUAGAUCAUUGAUUGAUAUAAUCAUCUGAAAGUGCGAGUUUUUUCAGAAGUGCUUACUCUUUUGAGAUAAAGUGGAUGCUUCUAAUUUCUCUUACUCUAGAUGUGAUGAAAUGCUUAGACUUUCAGAUCAGCAAGUGUAUGUCACACGCUUGAAUAUUUUGUUAGUCACACAUUUUGCGACCACCUCAAUAGUUUGAACCAUGAAGUCUUUGCAUACUGUACAUGUACAAAUUUAUCGUUAAGAAUCAUGGUAGGAAAUUAAUGAAUUGAUGAUGGCAUUAUAUUAGUAUUCACUCUUGGAAAUGCUAGCUAAUUGCGGUGCUACUACACAUUAUUGAUUUACUUAGUUGUCUCUUAAAUGUUUUUUGCGGGGACUUAGUUGUUUAAUUCUUAGAAAUGAAUAGUUUGAUCAAUUCUUCCCAUUUCUAUGAUGGCUUGUCAGGUUACCGUGGAAAACUAUUAGUAAAUGAGUAGUUCCAAUUAUGGCAUUUGGUAGUCUCAAGCGUUUGUAUUAUACAGUUUGUAUAUUGUCACCUACCUACAGUAUUUGGUUCUUCGUUUUCGUCUGUGCUACUUUUUUUCUGAUCUUAAUUCCAAAUUGUUUCCACACUUUGCUAAUCACCGCAGCUCCGAAGGACGGCACGGCACGGUACGAGAGGCCCAGCCCUUGCAACAACACAUGCAUGCGGCCUAGGCCGUUUGGUUGGCGCCGGCCGCCGGAGAUUCAGAUUCAGAUUCCGUUUUGUUUUAUUUUCUUUUCUUUUAUUCUGUUGUAUCUUUGUUUCCUAUUGUUUUAGUUUUUGUAAAAUAUAUACUUGGCAUCUAAUUUAGUAUUUCAAUUUAGUUUGAUAUGUUAUUAAUUAAUAAAGACAUUUAAAUAAUUAGGUUUGCUACUAUUUAAAUCUUUUUAGUGCAGUUAAGCAUUUCAUAAAAGUUUGGUUUCACCACCAUAAUCACCUAUGCAUUAUCUGGCAUGACCCGAACAUUUUAGUUUCAUUGUUUGAAAAAACUUUCGUUGUUUGCCUGAUUUUUAAUUUGAAUUCGAAUCGGUUUCGAACUAACGUCAUCAUGGCCACACCACCUUGACCCUCCAUAAUUGUGGGACCCACCUAGAAAAAGAAGAAAAAAAAACUAUCUCCGCCCAUGCUUGAGUUUCCCUCCAUAGAGCCGUAGCCGCCCUCGACGAACAGGGGCAGGAGAUUCCCAUGAUCUGCACCAAUGGACAGGCGCCAAAUCCACCCCCACCACGAGUUGCGUCCUCCCCCGACCCAAUCUGAUGGGGAGAUGCCACUCCCCUUCUGCACCCAUCACCGAGGCGAGCACCGACAGCAAGCACCACCGGAGCGCUACGACUCAUCACCUCGGGCUAGUCCUCUCUUCGAUCUUGAGCCACCCCAUGUGUUGCGAUUUGAUUUCCUGCAAUUUCGACCCGAGCAUCGUCCAGGGAUCCUACUUCGAUCCAGCAAGAAAGAUGGCUUUGAUCCCAGGCGUGCAGGGAGAGGAUGGCUUCUUCUCCAAUUGAUCCAGGCGAGACACUGGUCGUGUCCUAGACUACUUCGCGGGCGCCAAGGCGAGCACCAUCGUCUCCAUCUCCAUUUGGCUAUCGUACCAGGGCAACGGCGAUGGCCGGACCAACCCGAUCGACGAGCUCAUCCAGGAGAUGGAGGCGCGGUUCUUCUGGUCGGUUGACAGGAGGGAGGCGGUCCCACGGGACCUCCUUCACAGCCUGGAUUCCGGCGGCCAGCUUCACUGUCGCGAUGAGCUGGAGGCGCGGGAGGAGCUCGUCAAAGCAGAAGAGGUGGUGGAGGUGGCUCUGGUGGGUUGUGGUGGGGUGGGGCGGUGAAGAUGCUGCGGCGCUGGUCGCCCGAAGCGUGGUGGCGGGCACGGCGGUGAGGCGACUCUGUCACGGGAGAUAGAAAAGAUCGAUGCUGUUUUUCUUAAUUCCUCCAAGCCUAUGCUUACUUGGCAGUGCCUGCUAAGUUGGCAUGCUCAGUCAGUGUUGAUUGCAAUCAGGGCCGUCUCCAGGAAUUCGGGGGCCCGGGGCGAAAUACGAAAUGCAACCUAACUUUUUCUUAAAAUCAUAUAUGACUUAAGAACUAUUCCAGAAACCCUCAUGCCUAUGCAAAAAAUACAUCAUGAGAAAGCAUACAAAAUUUUAAUCGAUUACACAAUGUAAGUAGAACUGAAACUCGAUGCCAAACAAUCGAACAAAAUAGAUAACAUAUGACAAAUGCUAAUGUGGGGAUACAAAAAAGUGCCAGAUUAAUAGGUUGAUCUGUCCGUACCUCCUAUAGUAUGUGUAGACACUCCUGUUGUGGCAUACUGGCAUCGAUAAAAGAAUAGUAUCUUCAUCUUGUCUUUCUACAACAGGAAAUUAAAUUGAAAUAAAUGGGGCAAUUUGAGUUCAAUGGAUAAAUGAUUCUUUUUCAAUUCAAUGUUCAAAUCCAUCAAUUUAUAAAUCAACACAUACAACAUCAAUUUACAAAUCAGCUGCUGUUAUGCGUCUAUCUAUGUCCAAGAAAUUACCCAGCAGUGUCGGCGUUUAUCGGCUUCCAAGCCGCAUCCAGUCCUAGGCAUUGGGCGCUAGAGGAGGCAAGGGAAGGCGCCCGGCAGCAGUAGUAUUGCAGCUGGGCCUGCUGGGCAUAGCCUAGGGAGCCGUUGAGGGGACGGUGUGCUGGGGCUAGCGCGGAGCAUCUAGCAUGCCGGGCUGGACUGGAGGAGAGCGGCGGCCGAUUGCAGAAGGGAACGGGGUGGGAGAUGGCUACAAGCGGCGCGAGCGUGCGUUGCGCACGACGGGUUGGGGGUGGAGGCGGGCGAACCAGUAGGGGAGGGCUGCGGGCCUGCGACCCUAGGGCUCAAGGCUGUAGCAGGAGAUUCCAGGCGAUAGCAUCAGGCUCUUUGGUUUUCUCCCCGAUCGGGGGCCCCACAAUUUUGGGGGCCCUGUGCGGUCGGCCACUUUGGCCGCCCUCAUCGACGGGCCUGAUUGCAAUCAAAACCGCUUGACCGACUCGAAACCGAGACUGGGAUUGAGAUCUGAACCUACUGGUUUUGGCCGGUUUCGAAGUUGAGGGUUAUAAAUUAAACCGAGUGAUUAGUUCGGGGUUGAAAUGUAAACUUUUCUCAUUUAGAAAAUAAUAAUAAUAAUAAUACUUCCUCUGUCCGAAAAUACUUGUCGAAGAAAUGAAUAAAAAUGAAUGUAUUUAGAACUAAAAUACGUCCAGAUACAUUCAUUUCUUCGACAAAUAUUUCCGGACGGAGGGAGUAAUAUGUUACGCUUUUACUAGUAUGCGAAAUCUUGUCACCGCGUAUCAUGGACUGAGUGCAACACUUCCAAGCACCUGCCAGCCCACAAGCACAUGCACACCCCUUCAAGAAAGAUGCAACACUCAUAUGACAAUGCUGCAUUAUUCAACAAAGAACACAUGUUCACCAUGGAAUUCAAAACUCCAAGACAAUGCAUCUAGGAGGGGAAUGCCGUGCCAGUGAUGUUAUCAGAUCCAGCAACGUUAGACCAAAAUCAAGGCUUUCGCCUCGGCGUGUAAAAACCCUGCGUCGCAUCCCCGGUUGCUUCAGUGUCCACUUUAGACGUGACGCCAACCGCCAACUACUGUCUAGAUUGAAAAGCAACCUUGCAGAAUUGUGCAUUGCCGUGCUCCCAGAAUCGGCAAUACUCUCCCAAGGAGCAGCUGCGCCUUAGUGAGGACCAUGCUACCGACCAAAUUAAGUGAUGUGGACCGUCAUCGCUCCAUGGUUGAGGAAUGAGGACGAGCUCGUGGUGUCCUAGGAGUGACGGCGAACGGCUUCUAGCUGUAUGGUUUUCCACCGAAAAAGAUAAAUCAAAGGUCCUACUAGUAGGAGAUUAGGAGCUAAGAUAAAUCAGCCUUCGUGGAUGAUGUUCUUGAUGAGAACUAUUUUGUCUCAGGGUUAGUCUAAAAAGCUGAAAAUUGUUCGUCUUGCUCCGGCCACGCACUGAAUUAUAAUUAGCAGUAAUUUCAUACCGAUACGACACCACGUGUCUGAGAUCGGACAGGACACCAGCCCGUCCCAAACUGUCUACAUAUAUCGCCUACCUGUAGAAUAUGAAGUAUAUAGGCUGUGCAAACACAAUGCAUUGAUCGGUGCGUCAGGCACGCAUGUAUGAGUACAGAGAGAGGCCACAACCUCGACUAUACAAAGGAAACAAGAGGCGGGCUCAAUACACAAUAUACNNNNNNNNNNNNNNNNNNNNNNNNNNNNNNNNNNNNNNNNNNNNNNNNNNNNNNNNNNNNNNNNNNNNNNNNNNNNNNNNNNNNNNNNNNNNNNNNNNNNNNNNNNNNNNNNNNNNNNNNNNNNNNNNNNNNNNNNNNNNNNNNNNNNNNNNNNNNNNNNNNNNNNNNNNNNNNNNNNNNNNNNNNNNNNNNNNNNNNNNNNNNNNNNNNNAGUCGGCAGGCCCUUCGUCAUCACAUUGGCGAACUGUUGUGCAUUCGGAACAUGAAGGACCCGAAUAUGUCCAAGGGCCACUUGCUCGCACACAAAGUGAAUGUCCAGCUCAAUGUGCUUCGUCCGGCGAUGAUGAACGGGGUUGGCGGAGAGGUACAUCGCAGAGACGUUGUCGCAGUAGACAACCGUAGCCUGGGAGAUAUCGUGAUGCAGCUCCUGAAGUAACUGUCAUAGCCAGGUGCACUCGGCAACAGCGUUAGCCACAACUCGGUACUCAGCCUCCGCGCUGGAGCACGAUAUUGUGGGUUGUCGCUUGGACGACCACAAGACGAGUGAAGGACCGAGGUAAACGCAAUAGCCGGAGGUGGACCGACGAGUGUCGGGGCAGCCAGCCCAGUCUGCGUCGGAGUAGGCCACCGAGAAGCGGACCCCGUGAGGGUGAGCCCAAGAGCCAUCGUGCCGCGAAUUUAACGGACGAUCCACUUCACGAGAGUCCAAUGGGAGUCACGAGGGGCGUGCAUGUGGAUACACACCUGCUGAACUGCAUACUGUAGAUCCAGUCGGGUGAGAGUCAGAUACUGAAGAGUACCGACAAUGGACCGGUAGAAGGGAGCAUCCGACGCUGGCGAGCCCUCAAGAGCAGAAACCUUGGCCUUCGUGUCAACAGGAGUAGCAACAGGGUGACAGUUGAGCAUGCCAGCAUGCUCAAGGAGCUCGUGCGCAUACUUCUGCUGAUGAAGAAAGAAGCCAUCCGGUCGCCGAACGACCUCAAUGCCAAGAAAAAAAAUGUAGAGCAUCCAAGUCCUUGAUGGCGAACUCGUCACGCAGCCGGAGAGUAAUCUGCUGAAGAAGAGCUGCGGAGGUGGCCGUCAGGAUGAUGUCGUCGACCUAGAGGAGCAAAUAUGCAGUCACGUCACCAUGGCGAUAGACAAACAGUGAGGCGUCCGAGCGAGUGACGCUAAAGCCCAGUGUCUGAAGAAACCCGGCGAUCUGCUGGUACCAAGCGCGAGGUGCUUGCUUGAGCCCGUAUAGAGACCGGGACAGCAAACACACAUGGCCAGGAAGAGAUUCGUCGACGAAACCGAUGGGCUGCUCACAAUAAACCUGCUCCUCAAGAUGGCCUGGAGAAAGGCGUUGGAGACAUCCAUCUGAUGAACUAGCCAGCCUCGGGACACCGCAAGCUGGAGGACGGUGCGGAUCGUGCCCGGUUUGACAACCGGUGCAAACGUCUUAGUGAAGUCAACUCCAGCGCGUUGACGAAAACCACGAAUCCCCCAGCGAGCCUUGCAGUGCUCAAGUGUACCAUCCGAGCGGGUCUUGUGGAGAAAGACCCACUUGCCGCUGAUGACAUUGGCGCGAGGAGGCCGGGGAACCGGUGUCCAGGUGCGGUUCCGCUGGAGAGCGUCGAACUCUUCCUGCAUCGCGGCAAGCCAGUGAGGAUCACGAAGGGCUGCGCGAGCGGACGCAGGAAUAGGGGACGGCUCCGCGGUGGAGGCAGCGAGGAGGUACUCGUCGCUCGAGUAUCACAGACUCGGACGGUGAACGCCAGCUCGGGCCCGUGUGACGGGGCGAGACGGCAGCGCCGGAACGUCCGGCAAGGCGGGCGGCAAGACGGCCGGCGAAGCCGCCGGCGAGGCACCCGGCAUGGCAGUCGACGACGGGGCCGGUGAAGGGGCGGCUCCCGAGGUGGCCGGUGAAGAUAUCGGCGACGCGGCGGCUGACAAAGAUGCCAGCUAAGAGGCCGGUGAAGAUACCAGCGAUGCGGCGGCUGGCGAAGGGGCCGGCGAAGAUGCCGGCAAAGCGGCGGCCGGCAAGACGGGCGAUGCCGAGGCCCCUGACGGAGUCGGCAAGGGUGACGUGGGGGCGCGAGGCGCAGCUUGUCCCACGACGCGAGGACCACCGAAGCCCGGAGGCGGUCCAAGAACCGAGCGGGGCCGUCCACCUGAUGGGAUCGCUAGAGGGCCGCCGGUGGCCGGCGGCGACGGGGCGGCUGGAGGUAUCUGCUGAAAUGGAAACACCUUCUCAUCAAAGUGAACAUGCCGGGAGGUGAAUACACGAUGUGAGACGGGAUCGUAGCAGCAGUAUCAUUUGGUGUUAGGUGGGUAGCCGAGGAAGAUGCAAGCGACGGAGCGAGGUGCAAGCUUAUGAUGCGCAGUGGCGGCGAUGCUAGGAUAUCAGAGACAACCAAAGAUGUGAAAGCCAUCAUAAGAUGGGGGCGCACCAAAAAGGAGAUGGUGAGGGGCAUAGUUUCAGCGUGGGCAACACGGAUGGAUGUUGAUGAGGAGGGUGGCGGUGGCGUGAGUGUCUGGCCAAAAUCAGGGAUGCACGUUAGAGUGAAAGAGCAAUGUGCGAACGCAGUCGUUAAGAGUGCGAAGGAUACGCUCGGCACGGCCAUUUUGUUGGGACGUGUAGGGACAAGUGAGGCGGAAGAUAGUGCUGUGAGAGGCUAGAAGGUUACAAACAGCGAUGUUGUCAAACUCUUUUCCGUUGUCAGUUUGUAAUGCAAGGAUAGGAUGACCGAACUGUGUGGUGACAUAGGAAUAAAAGGCGGUGAGUGUGGCAAGGGCGUCGGACUUGCGACGAAGAGGAAAUGUCCACACAUAAUGAGAGAAAGGCGGUGAGUGUGGCAAGGGCGUUGGACUUGCGACGAAGAGGAAAUGUCCACACAUAAUGAGAGAAAUCAUCUAAGAUCACCAAAUAAUAUAGGUAGCCCGUGUUGCUCGCAACCGGGGAUGUCCAAACAUCACUAUUCAAUAACUGAAACGGAAAAGUGGAAAUAGUGGUAGAAGCGCUACAGGGAAGACGAACGUGCUUGCCAAGAGGACACGCCUCACAAGUAUGGUCGUCGAUCUUAUUGCAUGAGAAUGAAAAACUCUGAAGAAUUUGAGCAAAGUGGUGGGGUUUGGGUGUCCCAAACGAGCAUGCCAAAGGUAGACACCUGCAGCGAGGGCGACUGGGGUGGUGGAGGCGGUGGCGGAGGAGUGCGCCGGAUAGAGCUCGUCGGGACUAUCACAACGGUGAAGGACCAUUCGAGUACGGGCGUCCUUCACAGAAAAACCGACAUCAUCAAAUUCAACGAUAAUCUGAUUCUCACGAGCAAGACGACGAACAGAGACAAGGUUCGUAACUAAAUCAGGAGAAACAAGAACAUUAGACAUGGUAACAGGCGUAGAUGUGGAAGGAAACGAAAUAUGACCAACAUGUGUGAUAGGUAGAGAGGAACCGUUACCAACGGUGAUGCGAGUAGGAGUACGAACUGGAGUGAAUGAGUUUAAGGUACCGGGAUGAGAUGUCAUUUGGCGGUGGCGCCCGAGUCCAUGUACCAAGCGCCGCCGGUGCCGAAGGGGCUCGGUGAUGAGGUCAAGGGCAGGGCAGCCAAAGGAGUAGGGCCCCAUGGCGGGGAGACUGGCAGCGAGGCGAAGCCGGCGUAGGGCUGAACUGGGGCGGGCGAAGCAUGGCCGCCGGCCAUCGGCGGGGUGGCCAGAGCCGCGGAGCCGGCACCGGUCGGCUGCUGCAGCACGUCGAAGUUGACCAGAUGGCCCGCCAUGAAAGCCGGUGGCGUGGUGUAGCCGCCGAGGGGCUGAACCAGGGCAGGCGGAGCGUGGCCGCCGGCCAUUGGCGGCGCCGGCCGCAUGUUGGUGAAGGGAGACGGCGCGCCCGCGUACAUGGGGCUGAAGGAAGACGACGCAGCAGAAGACAUUGCAGCGGCGACGACGGUGGCUGGGGAAGGAGGCGUGGUGGCUGCGGCUGGAGGGGGCGCCGGGGCGGCCGGGGUGGCAACGGUAAGAGGAGCGGCGGCGGCGCGGAUAAGGGGCUGCGGCGGCUAGAUGGAGAGAGGGCAGGAGCGGGGAUGGGGAAGGGCGGCUACGAAGAGCUGCGAUGGCGGCAAGGGUUAGGGUUGGAAGGAGGAGGUUGCGGAAGCGAGGAGCAGAGUGCAGCGGCGACCGGCGGCGGUGGCGGCGGCGCGAAAGCCGCCGUCGGGUUGCGACGGUUAGGGUUAGGUCGACCGACCUGCGAUAGAUACCAUGUAGAAUAUGAAGUAUAGGCUGUGUAAACACAAUGCAUUGAUCGGUGCACCAGACACAUAUAUAUGAGUAUAGAGAAAGGCCACAACCUCGAUUAUAGAAAAAAAACAGAAAAUGGGCUCAAUACAUAAUAUAUACGUACAUAAUAUACUCAACACUUCCCUCCGUCCAUAGCGUGACUCCCGAAUUUUGUCCCUCGCCAAAACCAUGCACCACGUACAGGGAAGAAGCAAACAGAGGACGGUAUAGAGAACCAUGCAUCUUCUGCAGCUGCUGCCCGAGGACGUGCUCGCUGACAUCCUCCGCCGUGUUGCGCCGCGCGCCCUUGUCGUAUGCCGCUGCACGUGCAAGGCCCUGCGUGCCACCAUCGAUGCCAGUGGCCUGCUGCGCUCGGACCUCCUCCCGCUGGCGGUCGGCGGCAUAUUCAUCAACUUCCGGGGCACGCUUCUGUCGGAGUUCUUUGCCCGCCCCUCGGCCAGCCCUGCGAUCUCCGGCAGGUUCGACUAGCUACUUGCCCCGUCCUGAUGAGUACCCUGAGAGCCUAGAUUGCUGCAGCAUUGCGGACCACUGCAACGGCCUCCUCUUACUCGAUGUUCACGAGGACCAUUACUACGUGGUUAACCCGGCCACGCAGCAUUGGGGUCCUUUACCGACGCGCCCGUCUAUGUUUAAGGAGGCAGAUCCAGACUUCGCAUACCAACAAUACCUUGUGUUUGAUACCACGUUGUCGCCCCACUAUGAGGUGUUUCUGAUCCCACAUCCUCGCUACAAAAGAAAGACCGUAGAAUAUAAUUACAACAUAUCAGACUCAGAGGAUGAAGUAGACCCUGCUAUGGAGGAAUCUGAAUGACCACCGUCUAUGUGUGUUUUGCAUGUGUUUCUCCUCAAGGUCAGGCUGUUGGGAGGAAAGGUCUUCUGUUCGACAGGGAAAGGCUGCUGGCACCAUCGCUGAUAUGCGAUCUUCUGACUUGUACGAGAGACGUUAUGCCGUCUAUCACGGGGGCACACUUUACGUGCACUGCAAAACUGAUUUCAUAAUGAGGUACCUAAAACUCUUUAAACUCAUUUUUUUCCUACCAAUUUCUUCAUGAGUAACGUAUAGUAUUUUCUACUUACAUGGUUUAUUCACAUGUUUAUUAACAGUAUAUUUUGCAGGAUAUAUUUGACAAAUGAUACAUAUGAAGUAAUUAAACCACCGAUGGAUGGUGAACUAAUUGAAUGCCGAAAGUUUCGUCUUGGACGAUCAGAAAAAGGGGUGUACCUUGCAUCUAUUUGUCGUUUUGCGUGGUUUCCAUAUACUUCUACUCCCUCGGUUCCUUGAUAUUAGGUGCAUAGAUUUUUGAGAAAAAAAUCAAAAUAUAAGGUGUAUUACGUUGCACCACUCGUCUGGAAUUCUUUUAGGGAUUUGAUUACAUUUCCUUAUAUUAUGCAAGCUCCUCUAUUUUCUCAUGUCAAUUAGUCAGGUGUAAUCUAGCCCAAAACUUGUGAAAUUUUCUCUUCACAUGCGUUCUUUAAUUUCCGUGCCAAAAACUAUACACCCUAUAUUUAAGAACGGAGAGAGUAUUACAUAUCGUCUUCAGGUUUGGGUCCUUGAGGAAUCGAGUGGCCAGAUGAAUUGGGUCUUGAAGCAUAACAAUUGCCUUAGACCUAUAAUGCCUUAUGAUGGUCCGGUUCUUGGUUCAUGGGUCUUACAGGAUAGUAACUGCAAUGAGUAUCUCAAAGAGCACAAGAAGUGCAAUAUAACACCUGACGAUGACAUGGAACAACUAUUAGAAAAGACAUUGAAGUUGAUAAACUCCGUCAAGGAAACGCUAGUGGAAGCAAAGGUUGAAUGAGACUCUGAAAAUGAUGAUAUUCUUGACAAUGAAUAUAUGGUUGGUGGUUGUCACGACGGACUAUCCUUGGAUUUCAUCCAUAUAAAGAAGUUGUCUUUCUGAAUGUAUCAUCAUACAGAGGAGUGACCCAUACAGAGGAUUGGCCUAACAUUUGGAGGAUUCAAAGGUUCAGGAUCUAGGCUACUUGUACCCAACAAUUUAUCAUGUAUUUUCAGUGUUCGAGCAGUCCAUAACUGAGUCAUUUACAUACACACCUUGUUGGACAGG
rnacentral:lncRNA from 1 species